UCCCUGAUGGUCCAGUGGUUAAGACUCUACACUCCCAAUACUGGGACCCCAGGUUCGAUCCCUGGUUGGGGAA